rnacentral:lncRNA from 1 species
CAUUCUUCUCUGUGCCCUUAAAAGUAUAUCUGUGUGGCGGAAUGAGGAUUUUUGGAUCACCGAGUUUUUUUUCUUGUCCUUUGUUUUUGCGUCUAUGACUCUGGCUAUUUCAUUGGGAUUCUUGUUGAGUAUUCCGCUACUUGCUUCUCAAUUGCUUUUGAUUUGCUGCAGGGUUUUUUGGUUGCAAAAGAAAAGCAAAAGCUUUGGAAUUGUGUAUCAUUCUUUCUCGUCUUUUGGUCAUUUUUGGUUGUAAGCGCAAUGCCUAUGGUUUUUUGAGGACAAGUUUAAGGAUAUUGAAGUCGUUAUAGAAUCGUCAUACGCCAUUUUUCAUUUUUUGGGCUCGGAUUCUCCCCCCCUUAAGGGAUUCUAUUUAUAUGCUUUCUUCUAAAGAAUGGAGUGUGUCGGUGACUUGUAGAGUGAGUCCCUUUGGUGAUUUAGGUUUUGCAUUUUCUUUGUGGACCUGCUUGUCCUCCUCUUGUAUCCUUUCCUUUUGUAUUUAUUUUAGUAUAAUCCCUUUUUUUUUCUCUGUCUUGGGAAAAAAAACUGCAUGCAUCUGAACUGCACUCAGAAUUCAUGAACCCUUGCAAGUUCCCUUGCAGUCUGUAGCUCAAUUUCAGUCAUUAUUUUUUGAGUAUAACUCCCUUUUUUUUUCCUGUCUACUAUCAUUAUUAUUCAUACUUUCACUUGCCUGUCGUAUUGCGUUGCCAUACAAACUAAUGUUGCUUUAUUUUUUGUAGAACUAGAUGGUGCUUUAGAGAGCAUAAACUGCUAAACCCCCCAUUGUAGAAUCGUUGUUUGAAAAUGGAUACUUUACAUAAGACUGACAAGAUGUUCAGGACGGCUUGUUGAUCUGAUAUUUGUAGAUUCUUCUUGUUGCAGGAUACUUUUGGCCAUUUCUCGCAUGCAAUCUUUGGGUUCCAUCUUCAUCUUUGAAUAAUGGUUUAUUGUUACUAUUUCUUUGGUCAUAAAGUGGAGCCUGCUCAUUUUUGGGCUGUUGUUCUGCUUAAGGUGGUUAUUUGGGGAGUUUACUGCUUUUGCUCGUGAUUCAGUGCGUCUUUUACUUGUGAUUCAGUGCAUCUUUGGGCUUAUUCUCGCCUUACGUCUUUGUUUACCUCUACCAAAAUGACUAUUUUUUGAUUCAUUUGGUUGUCAAUGUAGGGGAGAUUUUUCAAGCCAUUUUUGCAAUAGAAAAUUGGGCAAAUGAUGAAGAAUUUGCAUUUGGAUCUAAUAUGUGCUGUUUAUAUUUCCCUUUUAUAAGUUAGCCUUCUCAUUGAUGAAGUUGGUGGGUUGCCUGCUAUUUUGUAGGGAUUUGGACAAAUCCUUCCAUAUCGAGUUUGGCCAUUUCAACUGUUCAUUAUGUUCACAAUAUAACCAACUACAUCUUUUACUCUAUCAGAAAUUUAAUAAUCAGUGGAUAUCAUUGUGGUCGUGUGGAGAAGCUGACGAUUGGAAGCUCAACACUUAAUAUGAAGGACUGGUCCUUGAUCAUUCUUCAAGUGACCUUGGAACUUGUUUUAACGCAUGACCUUACUAUUGAGAGUAAUAACUUCAUGCCUUUUCGCACUUGCUUUGGGGAUGCGUCAAGUCCCUUAUAAACUUUUCUGCCGUAGCUAUACAUAUGUUCCAUUUCAACCUUAACAACUCCCUCACGCUACCACGUGAUCGGUACUUUUUACAAUCAAGGGGAAGGAAAAGGACAUAUUUCACGGAUUUUGUGUUAUUACUCAAUAAAAUAAUGUUUUGGUGUCUGAGUAGGUGGGUAGAACCUGAGAAACAUCUGAAAGUGUUUGGCAAAAAUCUGAAAUGUUUGCAGUUUAAAUUAUUUGUUAUGAAUAAUUAGAGUUAUACCAGUUCUGUGAAAGAUGUUAGUUGUCAGGCGUUGCAAAACUGGAUUUAGCUUAUAAAGACUAAAAUGUUUUGUACGAUAGUAGAGGGAUUCUGUCCUCCAUGAGCAUUUUUCUGGGGAGUCAGUUCUUUGUUUAAACAUAUCAAACUAACCUUGUGGUAGACUUCCUCUGUAGCUGAUUUUGCUUUCCAGUGCUUUGAUUCUUGUAGUUGUAACUUAAAAGUAAGAAUCCAUUGUUUUUUAAAAAAGAAAAAUUAAUGGGUUAAGAUGGGCGUACAAGGGGAAAAAACAUUCAUUAUCCAUGUAAAAUGUGAGGGGGAUAGUGGAAAUCUAAAUGUCAUUGUUAAACUUUUUUUUUCCAGUACUCUUAGAGCUUCUGCUGCAAAUAUUUACCACAAGACACAGUCAUUACGAUGCUUGGGGUUAUUAAUGAGAAUAUUAACUUUCAAAGGAUACCAACUUCCUAAUCUUUAAUUCCAUUUUCACACUAAUGGUAAUACUCUCAUAUGUUUCUUGGUUUUUAGAUCUGUGAUUAUCCUUUCUCGAUUUUUAAUACUUUAAGCAGGACAUAUUCAGCUAACACUUCUCUUGACAGUUUCUUCCUGGACAGCCUGGGUCAAUUUCUGAUGAUGCUGAACGUUGUCACCCUUGUUG